GGGACCUUAGCUCAGCCUGGGAGAGCACUAGACUGAAGAUCUAGGUGUCGCGGAUUCAAAUUCCGCAGGUCCCA
rnacentral:tRNA from 1 species